UACAGAGGUCUCAAGCGUUGCUCGGAUUCAUUGGGCGUAAAGGGUGCGUAGGUGGCGCGGUAAGUCGGGUGUGAAAUCUCGGAGCUUAACUCCGAAAUUGCAUUCGAUACUGCCGUGCUCGAGGACUGGAGAGGAGACUGGAAUUCAUGGUGUAGCAGUGAAAUGCGUAGAGAUCAUGAGGAAGACCAGUGGCGAAGGCGGGUCUCUGGACAGUUCCUGACACUGAGGCACGAAGGCCAGGGGAGCAAACGGG
rnacentral:rRNA from 1 species